rnacentral:rRNA from 1 species
UACGUAGGGGGCGAGCGUUGUCCGGAAUGAUUGGGCGUAAAGGGCGUGUAGGCGGCUAUUUGUGUCCGAUGUGAAAGUCCAACUUUCAAGGUUGGAAUUGCAUUAGAAACUGGGUAGCUUGAGUGCAGGAGAGGUUAUCGGAAUUCCCGGUGUAGCGGUGAAAUGCGUAGAGAUCGGGAGGAACAUCAGUGGCGAAGGCGGGUAACUGGACUGUAACUGACGCUGAGACGCGAAAGUGUGGGGAGCAAACAGGAUUAGAUACC